UCAUUAGCACACUGGGCGAAAUGCUUAGCAGUAUUUUGUCUGCCACUACAUUCUGAGUUCAAAUUCCACUGAGGUCAACUUUGCCUUUCAUCCUUAAAGAAUCAAUAAAAUGCAGUAUCAG